rnacentral:lncRNA from 1 species
AGGAGUUAGCCACAGGGAGGGCCGCGGGCCUGGGCUGAGUUGUGGGGGAGGAGGUGGCAGUUUAGGGCCUCAGGGGACAUAUGGGGGCGGUGACAGAGUCAGGCGAUACUGGCGGGCUGGGGGUGGGAGUGUGCCUGCUGGAGGCAGGUUAGAGGGGAGACUAGACCUUAGGGAAGUCUUGCAGGGCAGAGCUGCCUCGAAAGGGCCCGCAGGAACCCGGGGAGAGGAGCACACUCCAGGCCUGGGUGUCGCUGCUGCCCGCUGGAGAAGGGGAACUUGACCCCUGGGAGGGGGCCGAUUCCGCGUAGGCUGGGCGGCCCCCUGUGCCCUGCUUUGUCUGACGGAGGGAGGCAGAGACUGGAGGAGGCUGAGGGUCUCGCCACCCUUGCUGGAGGCGAUAUCUGGCCGUCGAUGCCCUGAACAUGAGCAAGAAGGCAGGCCGUGGGGUGCGGGGUCGCAGUUAGGCUGGGAAGGCAGCACUUGAACUUGUCAAUACCAGCCGCCCCCUUUUUUUCCAGACAAAGGGGUGUGAGCCCGCCUGGGGAUGAGGCCUGGUGUGGUGGCAACUGACCUUAGCUUCGCGGGCUGACAGCUCUGGCCCAGGGCGGUGGCAGUGCUCCCUUUUGGACUUUUCCUGUAGGUUCCGUGCUAACCUCUUCUUGUUCAUCAUGGCGAGCUGAUGGCACCAGGAGGAUGGAGCCUCUGGCCAGUGUGAGUCGUAGCAGUGCAGGAGGGGAGACCCUGGAGGAGAGAGCCCGCCUAAAUUGAUGUCUGCAGAUUGAAUUUCCAGAGGCUUAGGAGGAGGAAGUUCUCCAAUGUCCCGUGUCCAGGCCUUGGCUCAGGAAGCCCUGUAUUCAGGAGGCCACCCUUUAAGGGUGUCAAUGAGCUUGUGAGAGGGUGAUGGUUCCAAGUCCCAAGCAGAUGCAUCCGGGGUCGUCAGCAGAUGUGUUGAGUGUUUGAUCCGGAGCACCAACCUCUGGGCACGUUGAAUGCCAGCAGGCACCUCUCCUGUUCGGGGGUGGAGGUUUUCCGAUGGCUGCGUCUUCUAAUGCCUCCUGUCAUGCUAGUUCUGUGCUACGAACCUUGCUUCCAGAAGACUCUUAAGAUGUAGAACAUUUUAACGCUGAUGCCUCAACGCAGAGUGAUGCCUGGUAGAUGGAGCUUGCAGAUGGAGCCCAGGGACCCUGUCAUCUACUCACCUGCCUGCCCCAGCCUCGGUCGGAGGAAUUCUUAGUGUGAUGAUGUAACCUGUGUGUCCAGAAAGUGUUCACUGUUGAAACGCCUUAGGCCAAUACUCACAGGAAGCCACCUGGC